rnacentral:rRNA from 1 species
CCUACGGGCGGCAGCAGUGGGGAAUAUUGGGCAAUGGGCGCAAGCCUGACCCAGCAACGCCGCGUGAAGGAAGAAGGCUUUCGGGUUGUAAACUUCUUUUCUGAGGGACGAAGAAAGUGACGGUACCCCAGGAAUAAGCCACGGCUAACUACGUGCCAGCAGCCGCGGUAAUACGUAGGUGGCAAGCCGUAUCCGGAUUUAUUGGGUGUAAAGGGCGUGUAGGCGGGAAAGGAAGUCAGAUGUGAAAACUCAGGGCUCAACCCUGAGCCUGCAUUUGAAAAUGUUUUUCUUGAGUGCUGGAGAGGAGAUCGGAAGUCCGUGUGUAGCGGUGAAAGGCGUAGAUAUACGGAGGAACAGCAGUGGCGAAGGCGGAUUGCUGGACAGUAACUGACGCUGAGGCGCGAAAGCGUGGGGAGCAAACAGGAUUAGAUACCCGAGUAGUC